GAUGAACGCUGGCGGCGUGCCUAACACAUGCAAGUCGAGCGGAGAAUUGUUGCUUGCAACAAUUCUUAGCGGCGGACGGGUGAGUAACACGUGGGUAACCUGCCCUAAACACAGGGAUAACAAUGAGAAAUCAUUGCUAAUACCGUAUAAGCUUACACUAUCGCAUGAUAGAGUAAGAAAAGACUUAUCGGUUUAGGAGGGGCCCGCGUAUGAUUAGCUAGUUGGAGAGGUAACGGCUCACCAAGGCGACGAUCAGUAGCCGACCUGAGAGGGUGAGCGGACACAUUGGGACAGAGACACGGCGCAAACACCUACGGGGGGCAGCAGUGGGGAAUAUUGCACAAUGGAGGAACCACUGAUGCAGCAACGCCGCGUGAAGGAAGAAGCUUUUCGGAGCGUAAACUCCUAUCUACAGAGAAGAAAAAAAUGACGGUACCUGAGGAAGAAGCCCCGGCUAACUACGUG
rnacentral:rRNA from 1 species